ensembl:ncRNA T01B4.5 ncRNA
CGAAAGUCGCAAAUUGAAACAGACUGAACCCCUUAAAGAGGGCGGAGCGGUGUGUUGCUUGGAAGUGAAGAGAGAUAGAGAGAGAAAGAAUGUGCCCCCGAGAACGCCUCCAUUUUGAUGGCUGGCUACGCCGGC